GUCACAGGGAGAACACUUGCUAUUUACAGCGGCUUGUUCAGACCAGGAGGUACGGGGUAAAGAGAGAUUUGCUUUAAUAACGAGCAGGUGCUUAGAAUUAAUGCAGGGAAGGAAAAGCCUGUGAAGGGACCUGAGCGAGCCCGAAUCCAGGUCAAGCCUGAGGAGACGUCCAGCCAUGUACCACACAGGUCCUCCCGGAUGGUCAGCACUGACUCUACGGCUGAGCUGUAUCUCCAACCCCCGCUCUGUUUACUUUGAGUUUGUUUGGUUGGUUUUGUCAUUGUUCUUGUUUUGUUUUUAGUUUAUUUUCACCCUGUUUCUCUAUGUACCUCUAUGGUUGUUCUGGAAAUCCAAAUGGAGACUAGGCUGGCCUCAAACUCCCAGAAAUUGACCUGUCUCUGCCUCCUAAAUGCUGGGAUUAAAUGCAUGCCCCACCAC
rnacentral:lncRNA from 1 species